GUCUCUCGGAACUCUCACUCAGCUGCCAUGGUGUAAGAGUUGAAGCUACCUGAAGAAGCCACAUGAGGUGCUAUGUUUGAUGACCUCAGCUGACCUGACAUCCUCCUGAGUUGGCUUUAACUGACAACUGGUAUCUACUGCUACUCCUGCGAAUGCGUCAUCUUUGUCCAGCCUAUUCUGUCUAAAGAUACAGUGAUAAAAAUUAUUCAAUCUAUGGUGAACAAGGUAAAAAAACAGACUGAGGAAAAAUGAUUACACUCUCAAGAAAGGGUGGAAAACUAUCAAAUGGUCUAACAUGUAAUAAGAAUUUUAAGAGAAUAAAAAAUAAUGUAAGCGAGCCAGAAAAAUAUUUAAACAGGUGACUAAAGCUUCCCCAAUUUGAUUUUUAAAACAAAGUUCUGACUAACAGAUUGAAGUAGCCCAAUAAACUCUAAGCAGGAUAAAAAUAAAAAGAACCACACUCGGGAUAUUCAUCCUAAAAUUGCACCAAAAUAAAGUCUUAAAAUCACCUAGAGGUGAGGUGGAGACCAACACCAUGUAAGGGAGAAUAGGUUAGAAAGAUUACUAACUUCUUAUCACAAAUGAUGGAGGCCAGAAUUUAAUGGAAUGACACAUUCAGUGUGCUGAAAGAAUUUUUAUAUCUGGCAAAAAUUUCUUCAGAUAUGAAGGUGAAAUAGGGAUAUUUCACAAAAUCCUAAACAACUGAGAAAAUGUGUUGCAGUAGACUUUUACUAGAAGUAGUGCUAAAAGAUAACCUUCAGUCUGAAAGAAAAUGAUUCCAGAUGGAAAUAGAAUCUAUGAGAAGGAAUGGAGAAAGCCAGAAAUGAUAAGAGCCUCGUGUGAAACUCAGAAGACUCACGGGCUACCCUCCGAGCAUGAAUUUUCCUUCCUGGAUCUAAAGUGACAUCACAACUUACACCCUAAAGAAUGAGGUGCAGCUGCUAACAGGAGUGGAGGCUAAUUUCAACUUGCCUGUUCUGGUUUAAGCCUGUCAGAAAACAGACACAACAUUCAUCCUUUAAGAAUGAGCUUGAGAAUUCCUGGAGCAUAGGAAGAAAUCGGCCAUCUUUCUGCACUGCCCACCAUCCCUGCCGUAGCGCUGGACACACCGUGACCCUGCAUAAACCAGCGAGUUUAAAGCAAUCAAAGGCACAUAAGAAGUACAGAUUCAUGCAAGAAUUCAAAGCCAUCUACACAGAAAACCUG
ensembl:lncRNA